CCCUCCUCCCUUCGCCCCCUCCGCUCACCGGAUGACUGAAGCAGAGGGAGACCGGCCGUUGUUCCCGUUAGUUGCAAACUCGGUGGUACACCCACUUUCACUGAGCGCGGGCGGAGAUGGCCGAUUGCGCUACGGGAGACAAAAGAAGCUCGACCCCGGAGACCGCGAUGUCGUUACGAUGCGGCCGGUAGGGGAUGCGGGGGGCUCAAGGAUGACGAUGAGUGCCCGUCUGCUUCGGUGACAACGAACAACAGAGAAACUAGGUGAUCUCUUGAAUCAAUCAAAAAAGAAACAUGGAAUUUUCUUUUCUCCAGACAAGGAAUGGCAUCAACGGCAUCUGUAAUGACCUCCCCAUAUAAGUUUAUGCUCAUAUUGUGAGGUUUUCUUGGAUAUUCAUGAACGAGCCGCAGAUGUUCCCGCCAAGGUCUGGAAACGUGGCACACCCGGGCAGAGGGUUCACCUUGCCUUCGGGAUCGACACUAACGGGGUACUUGAGCAGAUGUCCCUUCAUCUUAGUCACAUGGCUGGAGAAAAAUUGAUCCCAGUUCUUCUGCCCAAUGUGCCGCACCUGCCUCAUGCACUCCAGGCUUUCCGGCCUGGUGAAGCUCUCUUCGAUGGCUCCGAUGUGCUCCGCCCAUAGAGACAUCCUGUACCCGAAAAUCUGCAGGUGAAAACACAGUGAACACAGUUUGUUCCUCUCUGUGAAAAUAUGUAUGUCUCCUGCGUAUUCUUUAAAGGAAAAUAACAUCCAAAAUCUAGUACAAACUUCUUUCUUUCUCACUUUGCCACAGUAAAUAUGAUACUGUAGAUGACACCGCGUUGCCAACUUAUCCAAACUAAAGAGCGCAUUACCUGUCCACGAGGAGCAGAAAGCGUAUUUGCCCAUGUGUGUUGUGGUUGGUAUGCACCCAUUGCAAUCUCUGUAUCCCUAGUUCCUUCCAUGGACCUCUGGUUGAUGUUAGCCGACCCAAUGAUCACAUACUCAUCAUCCACAAUCAUUCCUUUCGAGUGCACAUAAACCAUGAAUCUCCCGUUCUUCCGAGAUUGAUCCUGAUUGAUUGUCCAAGUUGAGAGAGAGCGAGAAACAUAAAUUCUGCAUAUUGUAUUCUUUCGUUUUGUUUUCUUUUGAAAAAUGCGGCCUGCAGCUUUGGCCACUUGCGAAGUGCGCCGAAAUCAGCAGUAGAAAACAGAACUACAAUCUGCAAUCUCACCUGUGGGUUGCUGGCUGAGAAUGAUCCGCUGGAAGAGCAAGAAGUGUCCUCAGCUUCACGAUUACCAAGGCAGAAGAAGUUCAGGUAAUCCUGCGGUUCAUAUUUACCAUCUAGUCCUACUUCCUUCAACGCCUUAUAAAUUAUCUCAUACAUCAUUUGUAUCGUCUUGUUCUAUAAAUGACAAAAGAAGGGAGAAAUGAAUUGCACGAGAUAAGUUACUAUAUUGUUUCAAAAGGAGCUUAUACGGGUGUACAGUGAAACAAAUUCAUGACAAUAGAAGGGUUAUAGAAUCUAACCUGCCAGUAAAGAAUUCUUUGUGUAGGAGUACCGGUAGGGUUACCCUCAGGCCACAUUGGGAUUAUUAUAUAUGCUGAGAAUCUCUCAUUAGCAUAAAUCUUGUUUGCAAUUUUAAGUGCUAUCUCAAUGGGUAUCAAAUUAUUAGCACCUGCAAUGGUACUGUAAUUCAGUGUCCCAAAUUCUGGAGUACUUUUGAUUAUUUCUUCUCUCAUUAUUUGGGAAAAAUGAAGGGAUCAACAGAAUUUGGACUGGUGAACACAAUAGGGGAGUGACAUGGGAGUGUGUGAGAUCCAAGUACGUGUUCAGGACUCCAGAUCAAAAGGGAAAAGAAAUUUUAUGCUCACCGAUAUCUUUAUUCGAAUCCCAGUUGAAUGAAGAACCAAGAAAAUACUGGUUCUCAAUGUAGAUGAAAUGUUGGGCACCUCGGAUUGCAUUCACAUAAGCUGUAUGCACGCUCAUAUCAAUCAGUACAUUUUUCCCACAAACAAGAUUCUGUUGACCAAAGCCAAAGGUUGUAUUAUUUAGUACAAAUAAAUGGAGGCGCUACAUAUGUGGUUAAUUUGAUUGUGAUGUGGUGCAUUUCAGUUACCUUACUGGUGGCUUCUCGUGGAUCUUUUGGAAAACCCUUGACAGAGUUCGAAUCAAUUGAUCGGAAAAUCUGCUUUCCAAGUAAAAUUUGCUCAGUGCUCUACCAGAUGACUGGAAAAUUUGCUUUGCGAUUAACAAUGGAAUCAUUGUCAUUUGAAUAGACUUACCUGAACAUCCCAUCUCUCUGGAUCAUUGUCAUUUGAAUAGACUUCAUCGUCAAUAGUUGCAAUAUCAGUUAUCUUUUCAAUCCAUAGCAAUGUAUCAUUGCGUGAUUUCGUCAAUUUCUUAGACCCACUGCGCUUCGAUGCCUUUAACCACCGCUCCUCAAAGUUUUUCAGGACAUCAUAUGCUGCCGGACCGUCGAUCUUGGAAUGCAGGUCAUGCCAUGGCUCUCUUGGGCCACGGGCAUCUUCUACCUGCAAGGAAAAUGGUUUAUGAGAUCUAACAAAUUGCAGCAAAGCUCCAAGAUCAUUGCAUAAAGUCGACAGCUAGGUCAGUUGAAGACGAUAUAUGUGAGAAAGAAUAUUCACCGCAAAGUUUGGGUUGUAAUAGUCCUCCUUGUGAAAUGUCUGAAGAGUCCGAAAUAGAGUAUGUCUUGGUGUAUCA